rnacentral:rRNA from 1 species
UACGUAGGGCGCAAGCGUUGUUCGGAAUUACUGGGCGUAAAGGGCUCGUAGGUGGCCAACUAAGUCAGACGUGAAAUCCCUCGGCUUAACCGGGGAACUGCGUCUGAUACUGGAUGGCUUGAGUUCGGGAGAGGGAUGCGGAAUUCCAGGUGUAGCGGUGAAAUGCGUAGAUAUCUGGAGGAACACCGGUGGCGAAGGCGGCAUCCUGGACCGACACUGACGCUGAGGAGCGAAAGCCAGGGGAGCAAACGG